rnacentral:lncRNA from 1 species
AUGUAUAGGUUUAAAAUGUAAUGAUAUUGAGGUUUAGAAGUGUGCUUGACCAUAGUUAUUGUAAUCCCUUUUUAUUACAUGAUCCUAGAUGUUUAUUGAUGUCUAUGCUUAGCCAACUCAACACAUGUAUAUCGCCCAUUGGGGCAUUGAUGAGAUCCCACAGAGGGGUCAAGUUUAUGAUUAUGGUUAUGUUCAGUGCAUGCACAGGUUGAGUUUGGCGUAUGAUAGAAUGUAUGAAAGAAAAGUUUUAAUUUUUAUGUAUGUUGUUGAUCAUGUAUGGGAUUAAACAGGUUUCCAGGAUGUAUGUUUGGCUUGCUACGGGUCCCGGCGGCCUUAAGUCGAC